rnacentral:rRNA from 1 species
UAUUGCACAAUGGGGGAAACCCUGAUGCAGCGACGCCGCGUGAGUGAAGAAGUGUUUCGGCACGUAAAGCUCUGUCAGCAGGGAAGAAAAUGACGGUACCUGACCAAGAAGCCCCGGCUAACUACGUGCAAGCAGCCGCGGUAACACGUAGGGGGCAAGCGUUAUCCGGAUUUACUGGGUGUAAAGGGAGCGUAGACGGUUAUGCAAGUCUGGAGUGAAAGCCCGGGGCUCAACCCCGGGACUGCUUUGGAAACUGUAAAACUGGAGUGCAGGAGAGGCAGGCGGAAUUCCUAGUGUAGCGGUGAAAUGCGUAGAUAUUAGGAGGAACACCAGUGGCGAAGGCGGCCUGCUGGACUGUAACUGACGUUGAGGCUCGAAGGCGUGGGUAGCAAACAGG